rnacentral:rRNA from 1 species
AACGAACGCUGGCGGCAGGCCUAACACAUGCAAGUCGAACGAGGUGCUUUCUUCGGAAAGUUACCUAGUGGCGGACGGGUGCGUAACACGUGGGAAUCUACCUUACAGUGGGGGAUAACUUCUGGAAACGGGAGCUAAUACCCCAUACGCCCUUCGGGGGAAAGAUUUAUCGCUAUAAGAUGAGCCCGCGGUGGAUUAGGUAGUUGGUGAGGUAAAGGCUCACCAAGCCGAUGAUCCAUAGCUGGUUUGAGAGAAUGACCAGCCACACUGGGACUGAGACACGGCCCAG